GAAAAACAUUUCAAAAGAGAAAAACUCAAGAAGGAUCAGAAUCAAGAAAUGAUUAGUAGAGUCAUCACUUAAGAAACUUACAAGAAGAAAGUCAUCCAAGAAAAGCUUGAUGAUCCCGGUUCAUUCACUCUGCCAUGCUCUCUAGGACCAUUGACAUUCAAUAGGUGCCUUUUUGAUUUGGGAGCAUCUGUUAGCCAUAUGCCUCUCUCUACAGCUAAAAGGCUAGGGAUCAUGGAAUACAAGUUCUUCUACUUAGCUUUUCUCUUAGCUGAUGGUUCUGUUGCAUAUCCUCAUGGUCUAAUAGAAAAUCUGCCUAUCAAGAUUGGAAAUGUUGAGAUACCUACAGAUUUUGUGGUAUUGGACGUAGAUGAAGAAGGCAAGGAUCCCCUGAUCCUAGCCAGACCAUUCUUAGCUUCAGCUAGAGCAGUCAUAGAUGUCAGGAAUGGAAAAAUUGAUCUAAACCUUGAAAAAGGUAUCAAGAUGAGAUUGGACAUCAGCAAGGCUUCAGGGAAAUCAACUAUAGGAGGUAAGAGUUUUGGGAUUUAGGACAUAGAUGUUGAUGAAGAAACAGAAGCUGGAACCCUACCAAGAGUUAACUAUACUUCUCAACUCAGCAAGCUGAAGAGAAAUUUUGACCACAAGAAGAGAGCAAUAGAAGGGUUAGCUCAGACUGAAGAUCCUACAAAAGAUGACUGGUAUGAGAUGAGAAAAAAAUUUAAAUGGCAAAGAAGAGUCAUAGAGGGAUUAUCUUCAAGGGUGAUGAAGCUGAAAGAUCAACUAUGGAUGUUUGAAAAAAGAGUUAAUAAGUUUUCAAUGAGUAUUGAUCCAAAGAAGAUGGGAACUGCACUAGCUAUCAAAGAGGACGAAGAUUUCACAACAGAAUGGUUUGCACCAGAAGAUAAAAAAGAAUUUCACUUAGAGGAAAGAAGCUUGGAGAGGAAGUUGUUGAGUGAGGAGGAAAUCCCUAUUCCGACUUAUUCUCCAGGAGUGCUUAAACCGCCCACUAACCCCUCUACUGAAGAAGAACACUUGAUUCUUGAUUCUGUUGCUGAAGAACUCCUGGACUCAUGAUAGAAUACAAAGCUAAAGAGGAUACCAUUGGGGAGCUAACUUACAAGAUGGAAGAACUGAACCAUGCAAUCUUGGAACUUGAAGAAAUGGUUAAAGGCUACCCCAGUUUUGAAAUUGAGGAUUGGUCAAAGGAACCUGGUUCAGAAGAAGAAGACUACUCUGCUGAUCAAAAGGAAGCUUAUUUUGAAGAAAAAUCAAAUGAGUACUCAUCCUACCAUAUGUCAAGGGGGAAUGCAGAGUAUGAUUCAUGCACUUAAGAUUCAACCACUGAAGAUGAGGACUUCUCUGCUCCUCUCUUCAACCUUUUUUCUGACUAAGCCUUGUAAGAGUCAAGCUUAGUGACUUAAAACAAGCUCACUUGGGAGGAAGUCCCAUGUCUAUCCAUGUAUAU
rnacentral:sRNA from 1 species